GGGGAAGUGGAUUAAAAGGUAUGAACUUCCAGUCAUACAAUAAAUCGGUUAUGGUGAUGUCAUGUACAGCAUAGGGAAUACAGUCAGCAACAUUGUAAUAACUUUAUAAGGUGACAGAUGGUUACUAGACUUACUGUAGAGACUAUUCCACAGUGUAUAUAAAUGUUGAACCACGCUGUUAUACACCUGAAACCAGUAUUAUAUGUCAGCCGUACUUCAGUUACAAAAAGAAAUGAACAGUCAAGUGAAAGGCCAGAGAAAUGAGUCAGAAAUCUAAUAUUCUCUCCUGCUUUCCCUCCAUCCCAUCUCAUAUUUUACUUUCAUCCUAAAGACCUUUCAUCUCCCCAUGCUUCCCUGAACUGAGAUGAUGGUUAAAGAUUUACAAAACCUUACGGAAUUGAGAAUCAGAAAAUGUAGGUGACUCAACUGAGAAUAUAGGGUUAAUAAGCGAGAAAGCCAGGGCUUGAAUCCAGUCGUCUUUGUCGUCCUGUCUCUCAUGUUGCAGCUGCAGUGUGUGACUGGUACAAAUGGGCUCCAAACCAAAGUCCACCAUGGGGUCCCAGCAUUCAUAGAAAGAGAACUCUUCUCUUAAGGGAAGUAGAUUUGGCUAAGGAAAUAGGGUUUGUUCAAGUGCUGGGCAAAUAAAGUGAUAAAGAAUUUUUUCUUUGGAGUUUCUGACCAAACUUACAGCUUGAACUGUGAAAGGGUUUUCUUCCAAAUAAGAGUUAUCAACCACUGUAGAGACUUCAAAUCUCUCCUAAUGCAUGGUUUCAUACUCUGCUACUAACAGGGUGUGCUUCGUGAUUAAGGACGCAUGAGCUGGGUGACUGGCCAAGAACCUAAGUUGGUUUUCCCUUAUUUCUGAUUCAUGAACAUUAAUUAGAGCUAAAUUUUUUUUACCUAUAUCAUCCCAUUACUUGUUCAAAGUUCUCAUUUAGGACUCAUUACCCUGACAUGUAUAUUUCAUGUAUUAUAUUACAUUUUAUAAAAUGUUUUCAUAUACUAUUAUAUAUUAAAUAUUUUAUACAAUAUUAUAUUUUUUAGCAUAAUUUACCACUGUAUUCCCAGCACUUAACACUGGACCUAACCCCCUUAAUUAAGGGCCAGGUUUGCCUGUGAAGUUCUAAUUGCUUUUCUCUGGAUUGAUUUAAUAUUGAGGAAAGCGGAUGCUCAUAUUCCCUAAAACAUUAGUUGGUUCUAUAUGAAUGAGACUUUAUAGCUUGAACUGCUGCUGGAAAUGUUCUUCCAUGUUGUGGGGGGAGGGCAUCCCCCAUUGGCUAGAACGAGGAUCCUAGGUGGCUUUUUAAUGCAAGAUAGAUUCUUCUCUUUUGAAAAAAGUUCAGGGUUUAUUUGGAAAGUUUGAGGCCCUGGGGAAGUUGAAUUUUGCUUAGCUUGAUGUCUCUAGUACAUCACUGUCUACACUGUGAGUUGCCCUUGGGUGGCGAUGUACUCUGGGUAAACAGAAAAUGCCAGCCAACUGAUGCAAGUUCAGUUCUACCUUUGCCUUUUUCUGUCUUAGCCUUAUUAUCUGUAUAGUGGAGAGCCUUAUCCCUGCCUCCUCCUUGGGAUUGUUCUGAGGAUCUAGUGAGAUAAUGUUUGGGAAAGUCUUUUGUGUGAUGGGCCACAUCAUGGAAGAGUUUGUUUGCCAUAAAGUGAUGCUGAGCAUGAGUUGUGCCCACAGUGAUCCUGGGUAACAGGGCAGAUUCCUCUUGGGAUGUUUAAUCCAGCCACAUAUUCAGUGAGGGGCUGGCACUAACUGUUCAGCAGUUCAGAAAAAGUUCUGUGGCCAAUUCCUUGAAGGGGGGACAAGGGCUGUUGAAAACAUUUGAUUCUAUAGUGUCUGACUGUAGAGCUAUUCCAUUCAAACAAGGUUUCUAGGAAACCUGGGUGAUGAAUGUUCUAGAAGUCCACAGUGAUAAGGUAUUCUGAAUGAUGCCUGUCAGCAACCACAUAGCCUUCAGCCCCAGGAGAUGGCCCCAUAUACAUAGAUCAAGACAGCCUUAUUGCCCAAGUAAUGAACAUUUAUUUCACUGAACCUCAGCAUGCAGGACCCUUUUUGAUGAGAUUAGCUUCAUAUAGAUCACAAAAAAAAAAUCCCAGGGCUUAUGUCUUUGUCAUUAAAUAUUAAGCACACUUCAUCCAUUUCUCUAUCACAUUGCAUUAUGGUGUGUUCUACAUAAGCCCAUCUCACCUGAAAGACUGCAAGCUCCUUUAUUCAAGGAAUAGUGCAGAGUUUAUUUUGAUAUUUUCCAUGUUUAGCACCAUAUCCGGCAUGUAGUAAAGAUUCCAUGAGUGUUUAUUGAAUGACUGUCAAACUUUUUUGCCUGCAAUGCUUUGUUUUUAAUUAUUCAUUUUUUUAAUUUGUCAGCUAACAGCAUCUCUUUCUUUUAGCCACUUUGUAUUCUUAGGGAAAUUUAAGUAUAGUUUGAUUUUUGCCGUUGCCUCUGCUGAUCUUGAAAGAGGACCCAGUAGUUCUCGUAUGAUCUGGAGAGCAGAUAACAUGUGCUGUUUGGGUCUCUGUAUUUUCUUUUGAAGGCUUUUCUGAAUAAUGAGCCCACCCUUUUAUUCUAACGGAGGUCGCGUCCUGGGGCAUUCAUGCCCCUAAGACUGAGGUCUAGCCUAGUCACUGACUUCAUAGCUAAUUCCUUCUUCUCCUCACUGGGUACUCAUUUGAAUCCCAGACCCCAAAUCUACUUAAAACCCCUUGAUCAGCCUCUACUCGCAACUCUCUGGAAUUGUCUGACUCAGCUUAAUCAUAACCUGAAUAAUUAUUUGUGUGUAUUACUUCCAAAUACUCUAGUCUCAUGCUCUUUUCCCCCAUGAUUUUCUUGGCUUAGAGUCUAUAGAUUCAUAAAACUUAGAUGUCUCAGUGGAGCUAAGUAAGGACAACAAGGAUGCCAAAAUUUCACAGAGAUGCCUCAUAAACUGAAUCCUAGUUUUCCUGAAUCUUAAAUGAUUCCCAUUGUUUAAAAGUCAAAGCCAGAAUUCCAUAGUUCAACAUUCAAGCCCUUCACAGUCUGACGCCAACCUGCCCUUCUGAUCUUCUGUCCAUCCAUUUCCUUUGUUGUACUCUGGAAUCAGACUGAAUCACUGUUCAUUUCCUCAACACCCCUCUACCCCUCUUGCUUUCAUACAUGUGAAUAUAUUCUUUUUCUUUUUUUUUUUUUUGGCCUUUUGUCUUUUUCUAGGGCCGCACCCAAGGCAUAUGGAGGUUCCCAGGCUAGGGGUCUCAUCAGAGCUAUAGUCGCUGGCCUACGCCACAGCCACAGCAAUGCCAGAUCCAAGCUGCGUCUGUGACCUAUACCACAACUCAUGGCAACAACAGAUCCUUAAUCCACUGAGCGAGGCCAGGGAUCGAACCUGCAACCUCAUUGUUCCUAGUUGGAUUUGCUAACCACUGAGCCACGACGGGAACUCCUGAAUAUGUUAUUCUUUCACUUUGCAAUUCUUUCCCUUCAACAGCUUGCCCAUCAAACAAUCUCCUAGGGGUGUUUUAAAACCAGUCCAGGAGUUCCCUGCUGGCUCAGUGGGUUGAGGAUCUGGCACUGUUAUUGCUGUGGCUCUGGUUACUGCUGUGGCAUGGGUUCAAUCCCUGGCCUGGCAGCUUCUGCAUGAUGUGGGCACAACCAAACCAAAACAGAAUACCAGUCCAGAUUACAGAUCACCUCCCCUCUGAAGACUUCCCUCACAUCUCCAACAGAGUUUUUCUUUCUCACUGCCUCCCUCUCAUUCCGCUUCAAUCUUUUGUUUAUAUCCCUUGACAUGAAGAGUUGAAACUAUAUCUUUCAAUGUUUGUCUUUGCCGCUAGACUCUGAGCUUUUUGAAGGCAUCUUUCCCCAGGAUUCAGCACAGAGCCUCCCUCGUUCAUUACAUGCUUUCUGAAUUAACAGCAGCCGAACUGACCCGAGAGGAUCUUGGAAUGUGCCCUCAAAUGGCUGUUAAUGUGGCUGACAAGAUUUGGAAUUGCAAGGACCUCUAAUUAAAUUGUCUGUGGUCACCAUCUUUCCUAAGCAGUUUUGCUGGAAACCGAGAUGAAUUAAAGCAGCUGGGAGAGGAAACGUAUUUCCCCUGGGCUAUCUCAUUGUGAGGCCACUUUUCCUGUCCACACAGUGAUUUAUUACUUGAUAUGUCAUGUACAAACAGAUUCCAACAGGGACUCCAGUUUGAGAAAUUCUAAUGCUCUUAAGUAGGAUGGAAGGGAUUGCAGGGAAGAAUGAACAUCCUGGAUUCUGCUUUUUUUUUUCCCUAAGGGACUCUCUGUUGUCUUCAUUAAGUGGAGAGCCAUAAGGAAACCAAAAGGUCAAUGGAAAUCCUUGGCUUACACUACCAUUGACCUUUUCUUGAGGCAUAUCCUGUCCCUGUUUGUCUAAUUAUCCGCAAAAACAAGGCUAACACUUUAUUCAGGGGCUUUAUUUAAAGCGCUCAGGCUCCCAGUUGAAUGCUGUUACUGUUCCUCUCUUCACUGCCUCCUUCUGGGCCAGGUCUCUGGCAGCUAAGGACAUGUGGCUCUACACCUCAUGUUCCUGCUUAGAGUAGGUGCUCGGAGCCUCAGAAGAACAGCUCCCAAGUUGUCAGGAAAGCUUCCUGCCAAUGACCCGCAACAAAGCAUCCUUGACUUCUUUGUUCCUCAGGGUGUACACCACAGGGUUCAGUAGGGGGGUGAUGACAGUGUAGGUGACUGAGAUCAGCUGGUCCUGAUCCUUGGUGUUCUCUGACUUGGGCUUGAGGUAGGCAAUGGAGGCACAGCCAUAGUGGACAACGACCACAGUGAGGUGGGAGGCACAUGUGGCAAAGGCUUUCUGCCGGCCCUCGGCUGAGGCGAUCUUGAGGAUGGUGGAGAUGAUGAGGACAUAGGAGAUGAAAACCAGAGCCAUCGGCACCACCAGCACCAAAACACUGAUGAUCAGCGUCAGGAUCUCAUUGACAGUGGUGUCGAUGCAGGAGAGCUUCAUCACAGGGCGGAUGUCACAGAAGAAGUGGGCCACCUUUGUAGCACAGAAAGGUAACCUGAAGACAGAUGUCACCUGUGUCAUGGCCACAAUCAGCCCAAUGCUGCAGGCCCCCCCCACCAGCUGGACGCACACCCUCUUGUUCAUCAUGACCGUGUAUCUCAGGGGAUUGCAAAUGGCCACGUAGGGUCAUACCCUUUUUAGCAGUUAGUGAUCCCAAAGGUUACAAACAGGAACAUCUGUGUGGCACAACCUGCCAAUGAGAUGGACUGGCUCACACCCACAAGGCUGGCCAGCAUCCUUGGGAGAAUGACCAAUGUGUAUAUAGUCUCCGAAGUGGACAGCAUGCUGAGGAAGAAGUACAUGGGAGUGUGGAGAUGAUGAUCAAUGUGGAUAAUUGUCACGAUGACUAUAUUACCUGCGAGGGUUAAGAUGUACAGUGCAAGAAACACCACAAAAAGAGUGAGCUGGUGCUCUUGGAAGCUGGAGAAACCUUGGAGAGAAAACUCAGUGGUGAGAGUGUGAUUCUCUCUCUUCAUUGAGUGGCCACUAAAUCUGAAAUGUAGAAGAAUGAAAGUUACAUGAUUUCAGGAAAGCAGUUUAAUCACAGUUCUGAAAUUGAUUGAACUUUGUUCCCAGUGGAUUAAAGCUAAUCCCUGGGUUUACUUAAUUUUGCUUAAAAUAUUUUUGUUCUGUAGCCCUCUGUUAAAAUUUCCUAUGCAAGGCAUCCCAGAAUCAUAAAAGCUUUCCCCCCCCCCACUAUAUAAUUAUGUGCAUUCCCAUUUAAAGUUACUCUUUCUCCUUCCUGGGAACUUCCAUAUGCUACAGGUGCGGCCCUGAAAAGACAAAAGACAAAAAAAAAAAAAAAAAAAAAAAAAAAAAAAAAAAAAAAAAAAUCAUCCUUAUUCUUCAAAGCUUCCAUCAACACAUGUUUUACUCUGAAAUUUUCGUGUUUAUUUGGAUUAUUGUCAGCCCUCCUCAAUACAAACAUUCUUUGGCUUUAUACCUUUUAUGUCUGUAUGUCUCACGAGCUCAAGAUGAUGUAUGUAUGAAUUUGAUGCUUGAGAACACUUUGUUUAGGGACUGACUGGAGACUUCUUUUAUUUCAAGACUGUGAGUCAUCCGCUUCCACAUCAUUUAGGAAGCAGUAGCAAAGCAGACACAGAAAGGUUCAUCCUGUUUUCAGGAAGGAAAAGGUGACUCUUAACCAAUUAUGUCUUCUCCCCAUGGCUGUCUGAAUGAUGGAAGUUGACGGGCACUUCACAGCCCUGACUCACAUAUAGUGUAAACUAUGCUAUGUCUUCAUCUUCUCUAACUAUAAGGCAAAUUUACAGCCCAUACCAUGUUGUAAGUAGGCAUACACCUGUUCUGCAGAGGUAAACAGUUGUACCAGGGCAGAUGCAGCAAACUCAAGUGUCCCUCAUCUAAAGCAAAUGCAGACCCUGAAUAUAAAGAAUAGAAUUACAUGAAAGAUACAUCAUUUUGUGGAAGGAUGGAGCUCAGCCCAAUUCAUGUAAUAUUUCACAUUUUUGUCCCUUUAGACAGUAAGCUCCUGGAGGGUGUUUAAAUUAUAUUCUGAUUUCCUUAUGCAUAUUCAGAAAAAGCCUUUUUGCAUAAAGUAAAUCACAUCAGUGGUGAAGGUUAGUAGGCAUAGAGACCUCCUUCAAGUUUAUAAAAAAUUAUUUAAGAGACGGUGGCAACCAGCUAUUAAUCAUUUAUACUAGGAAAGCUAAAAGAGAGUAAAGGUACAACAGAAAAUAUUUCCCAAUAGGGAAAAUCAUUUGACACUCAAAUAUGUGGCUAAAGACAUUUAUCUUCUGUGCGGCCCCUAGGCAUAAACUAGGCAGUGGUCCAGCCAUGGGGCAGGGUGGCACCUCUACCAUGAAAUAAAAAAUGUGUGUCAGAGCUUUUGAUUGUGAUAAUGAUGAACAUGGGUGCUGCUUACAAUUAAUGGUUCUUUGUGUCCUGCAAUACAUGUGACAUUCCCAUCCAAGGGAAAAUUGUCCUAUUUGAAAUUCCAGCAGGGCUUCUCCUGAGAAAUCCUAUGCUAGAGCGACGUCCAAUCUGGCUGAAGUCUAUCUGUCUUGAGGUAGAAGUAUGGCUGCUAUCACCCGGUUAGCAUCCUCUGCCCUGGGGACCCAAUAAUUCUUCCAAGGAAAGGAAGAGCAAACACAACCUUAUGAAGACCUUCCCCAGCUGUGGCGAGAGCUGUUAUACUGCAAUAAAUUAAAUUUAGCCCACGAGCACUAAGCCCCAUUUCAGCCCCUUUUCUAAAGAACACUUACAUAUGACUGCCUUGCGCUGAGGUGCAACAGAAGAGCUGGGCUGGGGGAGGCUGAGGAGCAAAGCUGAAAGUGUUGGGCUCCCUUGGCCCCAGCUGUAGGCCAGAGCUGAGCCAGGUAACUGGAAGGGCCUAAGACAGGCUGAGGCUGAGCGGCAGUGGAUAAACACGCUCUAGCAGGAGGCUGGGGCUGCAGGCAUCCUUGACAGCCUCUCUGUUGGGAGAAGCCUUUCAAGCCAGAAAAGAUGUUCCCCCAGGAGCAGCCAGUGGGGUCUCUAGAGGUGACUCCCCAAAGACAUCCUGAGAAACACCCUGGGGCCAAGAGGUACAGACAGUGGGCACCCAGGGGCUCAUUAUGUGUGGGGCUCAUUUAUCCAAUCCCAGAGUUGGCAUUCUGGGAGCCUGGGGGUAGUUUUUGCUUCAAGUAGAAAGAGCAAUAGAGGAAAAUGGUUUAUUUGUGUUCUCACUUGUUUGAAUAAACACACUGUAGCUAGCCAGUUAGCUCAGUUGAUUGGAGUGUGGUGUUAAUAAUAAUAAAAUAAUAAAUAGGCACAUUUUUUUUUUAAAAAAAAAACAGAUAUGCCUUGGAAAUCCAUAGUUUACAAAUCUAAGCAGCUCAAGCUUAGAUCUCAGGAGGUUUAGGUCCUAUUUCUUUUUAUUUAUUUAUUUUUAGGGCCGCACUCACAGGCUAGGGGAGGUUCCCAGGCUAGGGGUCAAAUUGGAGCUGCAGCUGUUGGUCUACACCACAGCCACAGCAACACAGGAUCCAAGCUGCAUCUGCAACCUACACCACAGCUCACAGCAAUGCCAGAUCCUUAACCCACUGAGCGAGGCCAGGGAUUGAACCUGUGUCCUCAUGGAUGCCAGUCAGACUCGUUAACCACUGAGCCACGACAGGAAUUCCUAGGCCUUGUUUCUUACAUGCAGGAUCUCUACCCAGUUUAAGAAUUUGCUUUUCUCUUUGGAAUGAAAGUAGUUAAAUGGGGCCCUGGGUCUUCAGAAGGAAAUUGUUGCUGCCUGUUUUUCUGCCUCUGUGGCAUUUAGAAUUGGAAAAACACUAUCUUUAGAUCCAAGGAUCCUCUCUCCUGGAGUUUAGGAAACAGAGAUGAGCCUCUGAACUUUACUCAAAAUUGCCACCCCUUCUCCAUUUGGCAAAGUCUACUAGUCUGUCAAGACCCAAUUCCGAAUUUUCUUUCUGCUAAAGAUUUUCCAUGAGUUUGUUUAUUGCUUCUAUAGUAUUUUCUUACUUUAACAGGUGGUGCUUAUCUGUGUUCAUUCAUUCUUCAAGUGCUAAGCAUGUGGCAGGCCCUGUGCUAGUUGGUGGGCCUGCAGAAAGGAAUGAGAUACUGGAGUUCCCGUUGUGGCUCAGUGGUUAACGAAUCCGACUAGGAACCAUGCGGUUGCAGGUUUGAUCCCUGGCCUUGCUCAGUGAGUUAAGGAUCCGGUGUUGCCGUGACCUGUGGUGUAGGUGCCAGGUGCAGCUCAGAUCCCGUGUUGCUGUGGCUCUAGUAUAGGCCAGCGACUACAGCUCUGACUGGACCCCUAGCCUGGGAACCUCCAUAUGCCGCAGGAGUGGCCCUAGAAAAGGCAAAAAGACGAAAAAAAAGAAAAAAAA
rnacentral:lncRNA from 1 species